rnacentral:rRNA from 1 species
UACGAAGGGUGCAAGCGUUACUCGGAAUUACUGGGCGUAAAGCGUGCGCAGGCGGGCUUGUAAGCCAGACGUGAAAUCCCCGGGCUUAACCUGGGAAUGGCGUUUGGGACUGGGAGUCUGGAGUGCGGCAGAGGAGACUGGAAUUCCUGGUGUAGCAGUGAAAUGCGUAGAUAUCAGGUGGAACACCGAUGGCGAAGGCAGGUCUCUGGGCUGACACUGACGCUCAUGCACGAAAGCGUGGGGAGCAAACAGG